rnacentral:rRNA from 1 species
UACAGAGGUCUCAAGCGUUGUCCGGAUUUAUUGGGCGUAAAGAGCUCGUAGGCGGUUUGUCGCGUCGGCCGUGAAAUCUCCACGCUUAACGUGGAGCGUGCGGUCGAUACGGGCAGACUUGGAGUUCGGUAGGGGAGACUGGAAUUCCUGGUGUAGCGGUGAAAUGCGUAGAUAUCAGGAGGAACACCGGUGGCGAAGGCGGCUACCUGGACAGAAACUGACGCUGGAGGCGCGAAAGCUACGGGGAGCAAACAGG